AUUUACUCCAAUCCCACUUUUCUCUCUCUUUAUCAAAAAUCUCCUUUAAUUUUCUCCUCCUUUCCCUAACCCCUACCCCAAAAAAUGGCGAAAGUGAAAUCUCUCUCUAUUUUCUUCAUCUCAUCCAUUUUCUCCGUCGUUAUUGUAGCGCUUUUAUCUCCGGCCGCCGCUGGUUCCGCGGCGGCAGUAGCUGCUACUGGGUCCCACCAGCUGAGUUACUUUCCGAUGACAUUAUCUUCUUCUUCUUCACCGAUCUGCGACGGUUCGAUCGGGGACUGUUUGGCUGAAGAAGACGAGAAUGAGUUCGGGAUGGAAUCGGAGAGCAGCCGGCGCAUGUUAGCAUACCGCCGGAGAUACAUUAGCUACGGCGCGCUUAGUAGUA
rnacentral:misc_RNA from 1 species